CUUGAUGUCACAAUAUCAAAUCCUUACAACAUAGUUUAAACAUAACCAAUAAUCUAACAAACUCUUAAAAACACAAUAGUAUGGGUGAGCGAAUAAUUCUUCACUUUAUUUUUGUGAACAAACACCUUGAUUCUUUUUUUCAGGCAUGUCCUUUAGGCCCUACAUAUAAUUCAUUUAUGAUAAAGACAAAUUAAAUAAAGGUGACAUAUGUUCCAAGUCACUUAAAAUAGUAUUAAAAUAACAAUGGAUUGAAACGAACACAUAAACUAUACAAUAGAUCUAUAUCGAAUAAAAUGUUCCUACAUUUCUACCACACAUUCAUAGUGUACCAAUAUAUCAUGCUCAAAAUAGUAGAUUCUACAUUUCUACUACACAUUCAUAUUGGCCCUCGUAGAGUUUUACUAACCAGCGUCCUAAGGUGACUCGUCUCAAUAUUAGUUAAAUUAAUUGUUUAUAAUGAGUUGUUAAAUAUAACAACUUAUUUCAUAGGUUCUUAUGGAGUCAACAAAUUCCACCACACACACAAAAUAUUUAAGAAUUUCUACAGCUAUCAAAGAAAUUAGAAAGUCUAAGAACUGCAUGAAAUUGAGAGAGAAAUUAUAAGAGCAAAAAAAUGAUGACGAUAAAAGAAAAUCAAAGGCUUAGACAUAAUAGAUAAAUAUUUAUUUAUUUUUGUCAGGUAGUCUAGUGGUUAAAAUUCACUUUAUAAGGUGAAUAAGUGGGGUGUCCGGGGUUCAAACCCCGACCCCUACAUAUAACAAUAAUGUCUCUGCCACUGAGCUAUGCUCACGGGGACAAAUAUUUUUUACCUGAAUUCAAAAAAUCAGAAUAACAAGAUCCUUCAAUGCAAUAAUUGGGUAGAAGACUCCAACGAGGAUAUCUUUUAUAACAAUCGGCAGCAUAAGUACACUCUUC
rnacentral:lncRNA from 1 species